UUUGUCUCGUGGCUGGGAAAUUCAGGUGAUUCAUCAUGCCUGAAGAAGCACCUGAUCCCGGCUGCCCGGAGAGCCCGGUCACUAUGCGACAGGAAUGCCACAGGCGCGGGGGUGGGGGCGCGGGGGACGUGCGGCUUCUCAAGUGUUGAUGAGUUCCAUUUUGUAACGCUGCCCCCGAUCUCCUCAACAGCCCCCUGAGCCCAGAAGAGGGGAAGGAGCUGUUGCAGAGCGUUGCGCGUCUCCUGGAGGUGCCGAUGAGUGUCUUCGCAGACGUCGCUGUCCUGGGACCAGCCGUGACCUUCAGAGUGAGCUCCAGCGCCCCAAACCUGACGACGGCGGACGUGGUGCAGGCUGCAGCCUGGACUCUAGUGCCCAGGGACCUCUCCUGGAUCAGAGGCCGAAUUUCCGUCACCUGAUGAGCUCAUCCGAUGUGACAGCCUUGGACGCAGACGGGGGUCGCCUGUCAAUAGCUUUUCGUGAGAGACAAAGAGAGGCAAACGUCUAUAUUCAUUCCCUCCCCUCACGCAUGAGUAGCACCAGCUCUUGCCUCUGCCUGUCUCUACCUGGUAGCGACUGCGGAUUGAAACUUCAGCUCCUCUGUUUCGAGUUGGCUGUGCCUGGAGAGCUGUUGACGGACGCCCGGCAGCCUUGUCUAUCCGUUUAAGUUCACCAUGUUUUGACAUGUAAAUUUACAUGAGGCAUAUUUAAUCAGUCACAAUGAUAUGCUAAUUGGAUUCAUCUGUGAACUGAAUAAAAAGCACAUUUGAAGAAAAAUGAAGUGCAUUUCCUACCAGCUGAGGCACUUUGUAAUCAGCACCGUGCAUCAUCGAGAUGCAAAGAGAUAAAGGUGCCAGGUAUUUGGUGAGGGAACCAUGAUGGCCCUAAUUCAGGUGAGCUUUUCUGGCUUUACACGCACACACACACACACACACACACACC
rnacentral:lncRNA from 1 species